CUGUGUGCCCGGUAUGUGUAAUGCACUGCCUUGUGAGCUAGGAGAGUCUUUUGUAGCUGUGGAAAGCACGGCACAGAAUGGUUACAGAAUGCACCCGAAGUCACACGAGGACUCUUAAGUAAUGGAGAAUGGUUUGAAUCCAGGCUGUCUGAGGUGAAGAGCUGUGCUGGUCUCAUGGAGGAGAAGUGUACAGGAGGACAGCGGGGGCCUGGGGAGAGGUAUACUGUGCUCACUUACAUGGACUUGUCUGACCCUAAUGCUCGGCCUGAUAUUGCCCUCAGCGCUAUUGUGGCUCUUGUCCUGUCUUCAUUGCUCUUGGCAUCAGCUGAAAUGUAAGUUUGCUCAUUUCUUACCUGUUUCUUGUCUGUUUUCUGUUUCCAGAACAG
rnacentral:lncRNA from 1 species